UUGUUCUAGGGCUGUAGGAGAUG
rnacentral:misc_RNA from 1 species